rnacentral:rRNA from 1 species
AUUGAACGCUGGCGGCAUGCUUUACACAUGCAAGUCGAACGGCAGCGCGGGCUUCGGCCUGGCGGCGAGUGGCGAACGGGUGAGUAAUGCAUCGGAACGUGCCCAGUAGUGGGGGAUAGCCCGGCGAAAGCCGGAUUAAUACCGCAUACGACCUGAGGGUGAAAGCGGGGGACCGAAAGGCCUCGCGCUAUUGGAGCGGCCGAUGUCGGAUUAUCUAGUUGGUGGGGUAAAGGCUUACCAAGGCGACGAUCCGUAGCUGGUCUGAGAGGACGACCAGCCACACUGGGACUACGACACGGCCCAGACUCCUACGGGAGGCAACAGUGGGGAAUUUUGGACAAUGGGGGCAACCCUGAUGCAGCCAAGCCGCGUGCGGGAAGAAGGCCUUCGGGUUGUAAAACGCUUUUAUUCGGGAAGAAAUCCUCUGGGCUAAUACCCCGGGGGAAUGACGGUACCGGAAGAAUAAGCACCGGCUAACUACGUG